rnacentral:rRNA from 1 species
GACGAACGCUGGCGGCGUGCUUAACACAUGCAAGUCGAACGGAAAGGCCCUGCUUUUGUGGGUUGCUCGAGUGGCGAACGGGUGAGUAACACGUGAGUAACCUGCCCUUGACUUUGUGAUAACUUCAGGAAACUGGGGCUAAUACCGGAUAGGAGCUCCUGCUGCAUGGUGGGGGUUGGAAAGUUUCGGCGGUUGGGGAUGGACUCGCGGCUUAUCAGCUUGUUGGUGGGGUAGUGGCUUACCAAGGCUUUGACGGGUAGCCGGCCUGAGAGGGUGACCGGCGACAUUGGGACUGAGGUACGGCCCAGAAUGCUACGGGAGGCAGCAGUGGGGAAUAUUGCAGAAUGGGCGGAAGCCUGAUGCAGCGACGCCGCGUGCGGGAUGACGGCCUUCGGGUUGUAAACCGCUUUCGACUUUGCCGAAGCGUGAGUGACGGUAAUGGGUAAAGAAGCAACGGCUAACUACGUG